rnacentral:rRNA from 1 species
UACGUAGGGAGCAAGCGUUAUCCGGAUUCAUUGCGCGUAAAGCGCGCGUAGGCGGCUUGUUAAGUCAGGUGUUAAAUCCAGAGGCUCAACCUCUGUCCGCAUCUGAAACUGGCAGGCUUGAGUUUGGUAGAGGAAGAUGGAAUUCCCAGUGUAGCGGUGAAAUGCGCAGAGAUUAGGAAGAACACCAGUGGCGAAGGCGAUUCUCUGGACUGUAACUGACGCUGAGGCUCGAAAGCGUGGGGAGCAAACAGGAUUAGA